GAUGAACGCUGGCGGCGUGCCUAAUACAUGCAAGUCGAACGAACAGAUGAGGAGCUUUUUCCUCUGACGUUAUUGGCUGACGAGUGAGUAACACGUAGAUAACCUACCUAUAUGCCUGGGAUAACUUCGAGACACCGGCGCCAAUACCUGAUAAUAUAUUUCACCGCAUGGCUCAAUAGUUAAAGACGGUUUUGCUCUCACUCAUAGAUGGAUCCGCGCCGCAUUAGCUAGUUGGUAAGGUACUGGCUUACCAAGGCAACGCUGCGUAGCCGACCGGAGAGGGUGAUCGGCCACACGGGAACGGAGACCCGGUCCAGCCUCCUACGGGAGGCAGCAGGAGGGAAUCUUCGGAAUGGGGCGAAAGCCUGACGGGGAAAGGCCGGGGGGGGGAGAAAGGUCUUCGGAUCGAAAAACUCUGUUAUUAGGACGAAACGAAUGAGUAAGUAACUAUGACCGUAUUGACGGUACCGAAACAGAAAGCCACGGCUAACUACGUG
rnacentral:rRNA from 1 species